UUUGUUAAAGGAAUGAAUAAAAUGCCUGGUUCCAACCUCACUGCUGACAAACUUUGAAUCAACUUCUCACAGGAGUUUUGACAUCUGUCAAACUGUGUGCAUAGCCAUCCUCCUCUGGUUUAUUGGAUUGGUUCAUAAUUUAUUUGAAAUCACUUUGAGAGGCAUAAAUUCAUUAUGCUAAGACAGAAUAGAAAUUUAGAAUUGAGACUGUAGAAUUCUAAUCCAUUUCCUCAUUUUACAGCAGUAAGCAUUUAUGUCCACUGAUAAGCUGACCUACAGGGUGUUGCAGGGCAAGUGGUGGUGAGGUUAAGGCCAGGAUUCCUGAAAUACCUAUGAGAGCUCAGUCUGCGAGUCUUCCUGGUCUGCUGCACUCCUCAAGGAACCACAGCAUUCAAAAGCAAGGGAGAUGUUAUGAAAAAUAAAUAAAUUUAAGCUAAUUAAAUUAAUUCAGGUUAUGAAGAAGCAUAACAAAACAUCUCAAUUUUUAAGAUGGAAUUUAGUUAGAUAAAAAUUGACUUUGACAAUGGAGUUUAUUUUGGUAAAAAUUGAGAUAAAUGCAAGUUGCUUUGCAGACAUUUAAAUUGACAAACUGAAAGAUGACUUACAGAGGUGAUGGUUUGCAGCUUAUUAAUGUAACAGUUGCUAUUUGUCACCAGGCUGGAUUCCCAAAGUCUACUUGGCAGUUGAAUCCUGUCUUAAUUCACUCUUUUCUCCUGCCCUCCUUUCUCUACUGGAGAGCAGUCACUUUUAAUGGUGACUUUGCCCUCUCUCUGUCACAUUCUAUUCCAUUUAAGGGUUGGUUGGUGCUGUUGCCACAAAACAUCACAUGAGCAGGUAUGAAUUUUCCCCUACAAUUCUUGGCUAAAAAUGGUCACAUUCCUUAAAUUCUCUACAUCGUAUUUAAUUUUCUCUGCAGUCCAGUUCUUUGGCUUUGAUAUGCAACUUGUCUUUCAGAAAUUUCCCUCUUGUUUCCCAAGUUCAGUGAAAGUUGCCCAGCACUCCGCACCUAAGAAAGUAGCCUCUUAACAUCAUACCACCUCCUUAUGCUUCCUUGCUGUCUUUACCACUAUUUUCCUACAGGCUCUGUCCUCUCAUCUACCUCUCCCAUGGUCUUGAGUCUUUGGCCACCUAGGGACUGGUGGCCAGAAUGAAAUGCAUAGACUUAAGGAAGCAUAUUAGUGAUGGUGGUGAUGAGGAGAGGCAGCUGGUGAGCUGGACAUACUUAACUCUAUUAUGGUCCCAGUCUUCAAACAGGCCAGGUGCUGGGCCUGGCACUACUGACCUCAUCCAUACAGCCCUAUUCCUCUGGGCACAGGAAGAGAAUUCUCCUUCAGGUGAAAGGCAACAAUUGUCUCAAGGUUAACCAUGCAUCCUUUCUUAUUUUGGAAGGUGCUUGCAUCCCUUAGAGGUAGCAGGCCUGCCCUGCAAGCCACUUCUUUUCAGAAAAAUGGUUAACAAAUCCUGGCUAUUUGCAUGAUGUUUUUUGAUUUUUUGUAGUUGAAAUCAUGUAGAAAGUCUAAGAUCACAUAGCAAGAUAUAAACCCUAUAGAAAAUAAACCCACUUUACCUAUGUGAUUUGAUUUGUGCCACUUCUUAGGAGAAAAGAGUUUUUUGAAACCAAUAUUGAAUGUGGAAUGAAGAGAUAGUGCAUGCUGGGAGGAGGGUUGGUAUUCACUAAAUUCAAUUUUUUCUUCCCUGGCCAUACUGUGUUUUCCUGGGGCAGGAGACAGGAAGCCAGUGGCCUCUGAUAUCCUUGCUAUUCUAAGCUGCUUGGAUUAGGAGGCUAUUUUUAGCACCAGCUGUCCUGGUCAGUAAGGCAAUAAAUAGGUCCUUGGGCUAAGUGGCAUAAUCCUCAGGGGCCAGGAAAUGCAAGAUGGGCACCAUAGAGUGGGGACUUCAGAGGAAGGUUUCCUUGUCCACCAGUGUAAUUUGGACUGCAUCAUUUUUUUCUUUUUGAGCUGUGUCCUCUCCUUGCACUAAAGCUGUGUAGAUAACCAAGGCCCACAAACAUGUGGGCAGAUACAGGGACAUGGGAAGCAGGAGAAUGAGAUGGGAGAAGAGCCGGUCCUCUCCUCUGGUGCUCCAGCCCUCCCUGAAAAGAAAGGACCUAUGGGACCUGGCAGGUGACCCCUUUAAACUUCUACCUGGGUAUGUCCCUGGCCCCUGCUUCCUAGGGUGAGGGUGAGUCAGGUAUCUAGCAAGGAUCCUGAUGGUGAAAGCCACCAUUCCUUUCCUCUUCUAAUUACACAGAAUCCUGGCACAGGCAUGGCUUGUUCCUGUUGGUCAACAUUUGGAUGUGGGCCCCUGGACCUCUGAGCUACUUCCCUUCAUCCCACUUACACUCACCCUAGCCCUGUGUCUCAUCCCCAUCCUCUGCUACUGGUCACAUCUGGUCCCAUGUCUUCUGUGCCUCCACAGCUUGCCAUGGCUGGUCUGGCCCACUCGGGAUAUGACUGGGAUGGUGCAGGAGGGAGAGAGGGACUCAGCUUACCAUGUUUCUUUAUCCAUAUAAUGACCCCAUGAUUUGGCUACCCAGAAUGUGGUCUGAGUUGCUAUGCAACACAGCCCAUCUGGAGUCCUAUAGCCACUCCAGCACCAAUGGAUGGAGGGACAGAUGGCCACCCUCAUCCCUCAUUGCUUUCCUAGGUUGACUUCCCUCCUUACCAUGUUUCUAGGAGGGCCAUGGAAAUAAGACCCCUUGAAUACCUGUAUCACAUAAUAAUGCCUUUUCAGUAAAGAGAGGCCUCAUUUGUUCAUUUGUUCAUUAACUCAUUCAUUCAUUCAUUCAUUCAUUCAUUCAUGGUGUGCUGAGCUUUCCUCCCAGGUACCAAGCUUGUUUGGGCUUGGAGGUGCAGAUACAAGCAAGCUAAGUUUCUAUCCCUGAAUGCCCCACAGAACAGUUGGGGUGACUAAUGAUACAAGAGAGACAAGCACUGUGGCAGAGGUGUUCAGGGGACUGUGGAAGUGCACAGAGAAAUCAAGGACUUCAUUUGAUCAGGUGACAUCAGAGCAGGUUCUGGGGAGAAAGGGGUUGCUAGACAGCAUGGAAAACCUGACAAACCACAAGCCCUUUGCUAGGUUGGGGCUACAGGAGGCAGACAACAGCCUGGCCUAGCCCCUCUCACUGCUGGGCAGUGGGACCCUUGAGGAGUCCUCAAGCAGUGGAAGACAUGAGAAGUUUGCAUGGUAGGGCAGAAGCCCUGGCUGGAGGCUGAAGCACAGAGAUGAGACAAGAGGCUGUGGUGGGGAUUUACACAUAGAUCCAGGACCUGAAGACAAAGGAGACAGAUUGCAGGUGGGCCUAGAACACAGUGCUAUUAAUUCAGAUAACUCUUCUUGGUCCUGAUUAUUGUGUGGGCACAGGGUAGAUAGACAGGGGGCUGAGAGGAUAAAGUCAGAAGUGGCUCCCAGAUCUCUAUCUUGUGUGUCUGUAUUGUGUGUGUGUGUGUGUGUGUGUGUGUGUGUGUGUGUGUGAGAGAGAGAGAGAGAGAGAGAGAGAGAGAGAAGGAAGAAGAGAGGCAGGAAAAGGUAGGACCCAAGAAUGUAAGCAUAUCAGGGGCCACAUAUUUGCCUGAACAUUAAUAGGGCUAAUGAAGAAAAAGGUGAGAUCACAGUAUACAAUAGUACUAAAAUUCAAUCAUGCACUUAAUCUUAUUUCAAUUUAGCAGAAGGAGAAGGGGUAAAAUCUUGCCUUUCAUUUGGACUGUCCUGUUUGGACAGAGAUGUUUCAAAGUUUCCCAGUAGCAAAAGUCCUUGGUAUUGGUGGUGGCCCAGCAGUGUGCCCAGAUUUCACAGCUCUCUUGGGUCCAGGGAAGUCAAGAUUGUCUAGUAAAGUCAGCCCAUUGCUCUGGGGGAAGUGGUCUGUGGCAGAUGCUGCCUGGAUUCAAAAGGCAGCAAGGCCUGAAGGCACCAGUACUCAUCCUCAUUCAGACAUCUUGGAGCUGGGGUCCACCCUGCUCUCUGGCCUCACUCCCACUGUGACUUUUGGAAGGGUCCUAAAGGUCUCUCACUUUUGGGUCUUCAGUGACUCCAGUGGAGCAGGGUUACAUGGCUCCCAGGACACCACCCAGGGACAUCAUUUCCCCAGGUUUUCCCUUUGGAGGAGGUAUUAGGGUCUACAUGCUAUAAGCUUCUCACCCUGCUAGGAGUGGGCCUGGUCACCAGAAAUGGCAGUAACAGGCUGCCCUUGGAUGAGAAGGGCAGGUACUCAGACCAUUGCCUAGGGCUGCUUUCCCCUCAGCAGCAACCUAGCAUGUCAGGAUGCUGCAUGGCACCUGAGCUUUUGGGACCUGGCAGAGCUGGAGAAUAAGGGCAUGGGAGGUAUGUGUGAAGGAAAGGUAGAUUUGCUGUGUAGAAUUGAAUUGGAAGUGGCUGGGACAGGGAGGAGAGGAUUUUAAGUGAACCUGAGCUUUUCUUCAAGUGUUUGAGGGCUGCCACCUGAGGAAAAUGAAAACUUACAGCCCAAAAUCCACUUGUGUUCACAGGCAUCCACCACUGGCACCAGACAUCGAAAUAGGUGACAGGCAGGUGGAGAAGAAGCUGAGUUGGACAGCUCCUGCCCCAACGGUUAUGCUGCAUGGUGGAGACAGAGAUGGUCCAGGACAGAGUGGGAGAGUUGUUCUAACAAGGGAGAUACAGGUGCAGGGAGGGCAGAGUGAGGACAGUGUUCUAGGGGAGUGGGGAGCUCUUAUCUCUGGACCUGUGCUGCCUCACACAGUAGCCACCAGCUAUACAUGGCCAUUGAGAACUAGACAUGUGGCACUUGAGAAUGGGAAUGUACUGUAAGAUUUCAAAGACUUUGUACAGAAACAUCUCAUUUGUAAUAAUUUUUAUAUUGAGUAUGUGUUGAAACAAUACUGCUGUGAAUAUAAUGGGUUAAAUAAGAUAUAUUGUUGAAAUUAAUUCACUUGCAUCUUUUUACUUUUCUAAAUGUGACUACGAAAAAUGUAAAUUGACACAUGUUCCUGGCAUCUGUGACUCACCAUGUAACUCAGUUGGACAGAACUGUGCUAUCUAGCUGACAGCAUGACCAGGAACUGGCAAUUAAGAAGCAUGGCUGGGGGUAGAUCUGGACUGCACUGCU